rnacentral:rRNA from 1 species
AGCGUGGAGACAGGUGGUGCAUGGCUGUCGUCAGCUCGUGUCGUGAGAUGUUGGGUUAAGUCCCGCAACGAGCGCAACCCUCACCUCUUGUUGCCAUCAGGUCAUGCUGGGCACUCUAGAGGAACUACCCCGGUCAACGGGGAGGAAGGCGGGGAUGACGUCAAGUCAUCAUGCCCCUUACGUCCUGGGCUACACACGUGCUACAAUGGCCGGUACAAAGGGAUGCCACACCGCGAGGUAGAGCUAAACCCAAAAAGCCGGUCUAAGUUCAGAUUGGAGUCUGCAACUCGACUCCAUGAAGGAGGAAUCGCUAGUAAUCGCGUAUCAGCACGACGCGGUGAAUACGUUCCCGGGCCUUGUACACACCGCCCGUCACACCACGAAAGCCUGCUGUACUCGAAGUCGCUGAG